GGAAUAUUGGGCAAUGGGGGGAACCCUGACCCAGCAACGCCGCGUGAGGGAAGAAGGUUUUCGGAUCGUAAACCUCUGUCCUUGGUGAAGAGGAAGAGACGGUAGCCAAGGAGGAAGCCCCGGCUAACUACGUGCCAGCAGCCGCGGUAAUACGUAGGGGGCGAGCGUUGUCCGGAAUGAUUGGGCGUAAAGGGCGUGUAGGCGGCGAUUUAAGUUUGGAGUGAAAGUCCCGUUUUCAAGAUGGGAAUUGCUUUGGAUACUGGAUUGCUUGAGUACAGAAGAGGUAAGCGGAAUUCCCGGUGUAGCGGUGAAAUGCGUAGAGAUCGGGAGGAACACCAGUGGCGAAGGCGGCUUACUGGGCUGUAACUGACGCUGAGGCGCGAAAGCGUGGGGAGCGAACA
rnacentral:rRNA from 1 species